CUCACGUGGUUCUGUCAUGGGCGUCUUACUUAGUACCUAUGCUCCUCAGCGUGGAACUUCUGUUCAGCCUCAGACCCUGCAGCUGGGAUUGUAUGCACCUGUUGUCCUGAGCAACUGCUUCAAAUGACGGUACCUUAAGGCAUGGAUGAAAGCUGCUUUGUUAAUUCCUCAAGGUCUAAAGCAUGGUUCACAAUGGAUUUCACAAGAUCAGAGAGAAUCAGAAGUGGCUCACACUUAUACAGAAUAGACAUUAUAAACUAGAUUUUUUCCCUAGAGCUAUGUAAGCUCUUCCACAUUCUAUCAUAAUUUGUGAUCAGGACCAUCUGAAUGUACAGAUGUAUACAAUCUAAAGGACAUCAUUGAUCUACUCUAUUGAUGGCAUGCUAAUUGGACUGGAUGAGCAGGAAGGGGCUAACCCAUUGGAGGUAUUGGUCAGUCACGGUGCUUCAUGGGGUGAAAGAAACCAUUCAAAGAUUCAAGGGCAGCCUGCCAUAUCAGUAAAAUUCUUGCAAGUCCGAUGGUCAACAGUGUGUUGGGAUAGUCUAUGCAAAGUAAUA
rnacentral:lncRNA from 1 species